GAUCCUGGCUUAGGAUGAACGCUGGCGGCGUGCCUAAUACAUGCAAGUCGUACGGAGCGCUUCAGCUUGCUGGAGAGCUCAGUGGCGAACGGGUGAGUAAUACGUAAGUAACCUGCCUGCAAGGACUGGGAUAACACCUGGAAACGGGCGCUAAUACCGGAUAGGUAACAGAGGGGCAUCCCACUGUUAUUAAGGUUAAAAACACAAGCAGAUGGGCUUACGGUGCAUUAGUUAGUUGGUGAGGUAACGGCCCACCUGGCCGACGAUCAGUAGGGGUUCUGAGAGGAAGGUCCCCCACAUUGGAACUGAGACACGGUCCAAACUCCUACGGGAGGCAGCAGUGAGGAAUAUUGGUCAAUGGACGGAAGUCUGAACCAGCCAAGUAGCGUGCAAGGAAGACGGCCCUAUGGGUUGUAAACUGCUUUUAUCAGGGGAUAAAGUGAGGUAUGUAUACCUUUUUGCAUGUACCUGAUGAAUAAGGACCGGCUAAUUCCGUGCCAGCAGCCGC
rnacentral:rRNA from 1 species